UUUAUAUUUUGAAUUUUUAUAAAAGACAGACUAUGAAUUACUAAUAUUGCUAAAAGUCUCACAUUCAAAUUUUGGGAUCCAUGGUUUAAAAUUUUUUAUGAAAAAAUACAAAUGAUUACAAAAUCAUAUAAAUAAAAGUCUAAAUUAAUUAAUUAUUAAGAUUAAAAUAUAUAUAUAUAUCAUUUUAAAUUAAACUAUAUACCGCAUAAAAUACAUAAAUAUUUUAAUUUUGAAAUUUACUUUGAAUAAUUUUUUUUGAUAAAAACUUUGAACCAACAUUGACAACUUAAUUUUAAAUAAAACUUAUUUAUAUAUAUAAUAUUUAUCCCAAUCAAGGUGCGGGUUUUAACCUAGUACAUAUAUUAUAUGGAGAUUAAACAUGAACCAGAUAGAAAUAUAAUACAAAACUUGAAACUGAAUACAAAACAAUACACCAAAGGAAUUAAGAAAUCGAAAUUUAAAUCAAAUCAGAUGCGACUUAGUUACAACACCAUGAGUGUUAGAAAUGAUAGAUUAUGAUGUGAGAGUAAUGAAGUAACAAAGUAUGGUUGAUUUCAAAAAAUAGAGAAUGAAGAGAACAAGUGAGAACGAGAGAGAGAGAGUAAAGAGAAAAUGAAGAAAGAGAACUCCUCUUUUCUUAGAUCUGAAAAGUAUCAUUACAAUAGAUUAUAAGAAAGAAAAAAAAAAAUAAACUAGAACUGUCUUACACAAGAUACCAAACACACUUAGCGGACUAAGGAAGCUACAAUAAAAUAUCUGUUUGUUUUUACUGUAGCUUUGCGUGUAAUGUUCAUGCUCGCUUGCUUAUUUUUCUUUGGCAAGCCUUGCUAACAUUGAUCUUGGCAGACCUUGCUGAAUAAAUAAUUCUUCCUUUUAUUUUCAUACUCAACAAUUUCUUCUUCGUUUCAUCCAUCAGUGAGAUUGUAAAAAAUAAAAGUUUCCAUUAUUUCACAUUAAAACGAUAUCCCUCCGAUUAAUUAACAUGUGUUUGUGUGGUCAUAUAAAUUGCUGAUUUUCUUAAAAGAAAUAUAUAUUACUCACUUUAAUACGUAAAUUUCUUAUACGUAUAUUACCCAUUGGGAAGUACACUGGCGAGAGGCGACGAUAUGUGGGCAAGCAUAUGGAGCAGGGCAACUAGAGAUGAUGGGGAUAUAUCUUCAAAAAUCUUGGAUCAUCCUUAACACGUUUUCCUUUCUUCUUAAUUUGCCUUUAUACGUUUCUGCCACUCCACUUUUGAGUCUCCUCGGACAGUCCCCAGCUGAGAUCUCCAAAGCCGCCCGAAGAUUCUCCCUCUGGGAUGAUCCCUCAGCUCUUUGCUUACGCCGUCAACUUCGCCAACCCCAAGUUCUUGCAGGCGCAAACCAAAGUGGUUGCAAUGGCGGCUAUAGCAGCGACCAUGCUGUUUUAGCAUGCUGUAUUGAGUUGAGUUGGUUACUGAUGCUGAAACUCGGUUGGGGAAUGGCUGGAGGAGCUGUCGGGCUGAAUAUGUCGUGGUGGUUGAUAGAUGGAGCUCAGAUAGUUUAUAUCUGUGGAGCUUUUUGUGGCAGAGCUUGGUCAGGGCUCUAAUGGAAGGCUUUCAAGAAUCUCAGAGGCUUCACAAAACUCUAACUUGCCUCUGCGGUCAUGGUUUGACUAGAGGUUUGGUACUUCAUGGCGUUGACUGUUUGCGUGUUACCCAAUGAACCCUCAAGUCUAUGUGGCUGCUCCUUCAAAUAUGCGUGAACAUACUCGGAUGGCCAAUCAUGGUGGCAUUUGGCUUGCUGUUAGGUACAUUACACAACCAGGACUGGAUCUGAAAUUUUGUGUGUACUUAAAGAUAAUUGUCGCAGAGAUGAUAUUGAGAUAAAACGUGAAGGUGAUACUAUUGAGGUGAUGAAAACAAUCAAAGUAGGAUCAUUGAAGCAUUGUAGUUUCGCUAUUAACAGAGUGCCUCUCAUCAUCAUUAGGAAAAAAAAUAUAUAUAUAAAAAUCUAACAUAAAAUGUGAUACUAAGGAACAUCUGACUGGUAACUAUUCGGGAAACAAAAAAAACAAACAGAAAAAUAAUGUACGAAACUAAAAUAGCAGCAAUGAAAAGAAAUGAUUGUUCCUUCUCAAAUUUAAAUAGGAAUAAUUUUAUUGUUCAAUUCUCUCAAAAAAAAAAAAAAAGAAUGAGAGGAAAUUAUUAUUA